CUGUGAGCUGAGCAGGCGGUGGUACUAGUAUUCCCACUUUGCCGAAAUGACCGCGUUAUCAAAAGGUCUGGGCUGUUCUCCUGCUGGCCACAUGGUCCCCUAGGUCUAAGCAAUGCGGUGAAACUUGGAUGCACAGGAUGUCAGGAGCAAGGGAGUACCACUAGUAGGCGGACCUACCUCCUCUGGCUCCAUCAAAGGCCACAGACCCAUGAGAACCAUCCAGCCUAGCCUGAGCCACAUGCCUGGAGGCCACAGCAGUACGCAGGAAAGUGAGAGGAAGUGGAAACGUGCGAGUAGAGGGCCCAAAGCAACGGGCUCACCACCGGAAAAAAAAAUAAAAAUA